GUCAAUGGUGUGGAUGGCGUAAAUAUGCCAUGUGUCUCUGAACAUAAAUUCUAAACAUCUGUGGCAAAUAAACGAAACCUCUCUGGUGUCCAUGGCCUGACAGAAAAGUAACUGCAAAGGGCCUACAAUCAGCAGACAAGGGUGGAUGCUACACUUCAGUAGUGGAUAAUUCAUCCUACCAAUUGAGGAGCUGUGAACGUCAGACGACCAUGUCCCCUAUGAAGAACUCCGGGGCCUGCUCCCUCCGCUCAAGAUAAAGCCUUUCUGAACGGCCCAUCUGAAGGUGUGGAAGACAUGGCUCAAUAAUC